GUUCUGUAUGACUGGCGGAUAAGUGGGAGUACCCACAGGGAGUACAGAUAAUUAGAAGCCGACCGCCUGGGCACCA
rnacentral:ncRNA from 1 species